CCGGGGCCCCGGGCUGGGGGCAGGAGGCCGAUCCCCACAGCGGGGCUACUAGCCCAGUGCCUUGUUCCCGCAGGACUGGAGCCGGACUUCCCCACGCAGCAGAAGCCCGCGGCCGCACACGAAAACUUCCAGAGAACGAUGCCGGCCUUUGGGAAAGCACUCAAAGAAAGGAAGCUCCUUCGGCAGAGGAUGCACUCGUUGCCGGUGAGUGCUGGAGGCUGUGCAGGGCUGAGCAGAGCGAGGCAGGAUCCUGCCGAGUCCCAGGGCGAGCCGGGACGAGGAGGAUGGGGGCAGGAGAGGGCGCAGGGCUGGUGCGCACCUCUCACCGCUGGCUGUCCCACAGCCGUGGCAGCGGGAAGGCAGCCGUGUCCUGAAGGACAUCUCGCAGCUGCAGGAGCGCAGGGACAGAGCGCGGCGGCGCCGGAGGGAGCCCGAGGAUGAGGCGGGCUUUGUGGCCAAGAAGCUGCGGAGGCCGGGCCAGUGGAGCCAUGGGGCCGCCAGGAGGGAGCCCCUUGCCAAGAGCCCCUGGGCCGCAUCAGAGCUGCUGGUGAGAGAGGCUGGAGGGCUCGGCAGGGCAGCAGCGAUGGGUGAUGCCGGGGCUGCCCGCCUGGGAGCUGCCGCUCCGAGCUCCCCGCGUGGCCUGGAGAGCUGCGGAGGUGG
rnacentral:lncRNA from 13 species